GGAAUAUUGGUCAAUGGGCGAGAGCCUGAACCAGCCGAGUAGCGUGCAGGAAGACGGCCCUAUCGGUUGUAAUCUGCUUUUAUAUGGGGAUAAAGUCGCCUACGUGUAGGUGUUUGCAGGUACCAUAUGAAUAAGGACCGGCUAAUUCCGUGCCAGCAGCCGCGGUAAUACGGAAGGUCCGGGCGUUAUCCGGAUUUAUUGGGUUUAAAGGGAGCGCAGGCCGGAGAUUAAGCGUGACGUGAAAUGUAGACGCUCAACGUCUGAAUUGCGUCGCGAACUGGUUUCCUUGAGUGAGUACGACGUGUACGGAAUUCGUGGUGUAGCGGUGAAAUGCUUAGAUAUCACGAAGAACCCCGAUUGCGAAGGCAGCGUACCAGUCCUUUACUGACGCUAAAGCUCGAAGGUGCGGGUAUCGAACA
rnacentral:rRNA from 1 species